rnacentral:rRNA from 1 species
UACGAAAGGGGCAAGCGUUGUUCGGAAUGACUGGGCGUAAAGGGCGCGUAGGCGGUCGGCCGCGUCAGAUGUGAAAGCCCCGGGCUCAACCUGGGAACCGCAUUUGAGACGGGUCGACUGGAGUUCGGGAGAGGAUAGCGGAAUUCCCAGUGUAGAGGUGAAAUUCGUAGAUAUUGGGAAGAACACCGGUAGCGAAGGCGGCUAUCUGGACCGACAUUGACGCUGAGGCGCGAAAGCGUGGGGAGCAAACAGG